rnacentral:rRNA from 1 species
AGCAAGUCGAGCGAGCUUGCCUAGAUGAUUUUAGUUGCUUGCACUAAAUGAAACUAGAUACAAGCGAGCGGCGGACGGGUGAGUAACACGUGGGUAACCUGCCCUGGAGCGGGGGAUAACAUCUGGAAACAGGUGCUAAUACCGCAUAACAACGAAAACCACAUGGUUUUCGUUUCAAAGAUGGUUUCGGCUAUCACUUCAGGAUGGGCCCGCGGUGCAUUAGCUAGUUGGUAGGGUAACGGCUUACCAAGGCAAUGAUGCAUAGCCGAGUUGAGAGACUGAUCGGCCACAAUGGAACUGAGACACGGUCCAUACUCCUACGGGAGGCAGCAGUAGGGAAUCUUCCACAAUGGGCGCAAGCCUGAUGGAGCAACACCGCGUGAGUGAAGAAGGGUUUCGGCUCGUAAAGCUCUGUUGUUGGAGAAGAACGUGCGUGAGAGUAACUGUUCACGCAGUGACGGUAUCCAACCAGAAAGUCACGGCUAACUACGUGCC